AUUGAACGCUGGCGGCAGGCCUAGCACAUGCAAGUCGAGCGGAUGAAGGGAGCUUGCUCCUGGAUUCAGCGGCGGACGGGUGAGUAAUGCCUAGGAAUCUGCCUGGUAGUGGGGGAUAACGUCCGGAAACGGGCGCUAAUACCGCAUACGUCCUGAGGGAGAAAGUGGGGGAUCUUCGGACCUCACGCUAUCAGAUGAGCCUAGGUCGGAUUAGCUAGUUGGUGGGGUAAAGGCCUACCAAGGCGACGAUCCGUAACUGGUCUGAGAGGAUGAUCAGUCACACUGGAACUGAGACACGGUCCAGACCCCUACGGGAGGCAGCAGUGGGGAAUAUUGGACAAUGGGCGAAAGCCUGAUCCAGCCAUGCCGCGUGUGUGAAGAAGGUCUUCGGAUUGUAAAGCACUUUAAGUUGGGAGGAAGGGCAGUAAGUUAAUACCUUGCUGUUUUGACGUUACCAACAGAAUAAGCACCGGCUAACUUCGUG
rnacentral:rRNA from 1 species